CCUUCGGGGGUACACGAGUGGCGAACGGGUGAGUAACACGUGAGCAACCUGCCCUUGACUUCGGAAUACCAGCUGGAAACAGCUGCUAAUACCGGAUAUGACACUUGCCCUCAUGGGUGGGUGUGGAAAGCUCCGGCGGUCAGGGAUGGGCUCGCGGCCUAUCAGCUUGUUGGUGAGGUAAUGGCUCACCAAGGCUUCGACGGGUAGCCGGCCUGAGAGGGCGACCGGCCACACUGGGACUGAGAUACGGCCCAGACUCCUACGGGAGGCAGCAGUGGGGAAUAUUGCACAAUGGGCGCAAGCCUGAUGCAGCAACGCCGCGUGCGGGAUGACGGCCUUCGGGUUGUAAACCGCUUUCAGUAGGGACGAAGCUAACGUGACGGUACCUACAGAAGAAGGACCGGCUAACUACGUGCCAGCAGCCGCGGUGAUACGUAGGGUCCGAGCGUUGUCCGGAAUUAUUGGGCGUAAAGGGCUUGUAGGCGGUCCGUCGCGUCAGGAGUGAAAACUCGGGGCUUAACCCCGAGCCUGCUUUUGAUACGGGCGGACUAGAGGGAUGCAGGGGAGAACGGAAUUCCUGGUGGAGCGGUGGAAUGCGCAGAUAUCAGGAGGAACACCGGUGGCGAAGGCGGUUCUCUGGGCAUUACCUGACGCUGAGAAGCGAAAGCGUGGGGAGCAAACAGGCUUAGAUACCCUGGUAGUCCACGCCGUAAACGGUGGGCACUAGGUGUGGGGGACAU
rnacentral:rRNA from 1 species